CGGGGGGCGGCUUACCAUGCAGUCGACGAUGAACCCGAAGCUUGCUUUGGGGGAUUAGUGGCGAACGGGUGAGUAACACGUGAGCAACCUGCCCCUCACUCUGGGAUAAACUCUGGAAACGGCGUCUAAUACUGGAUACGAGACGCGACCGCAUGGUCAGUGUCUGGAAAGAUUUUUUGGUGGGGGAUGGGCUCGCGGCCUAUCAGCUUGUUGGUGAGGUAAUGGCUCACCAAGGCGUCCACGGGUAGCCGGCCUGAGAGGGUGACCGGCCACACUGGGACUGAGACACGGCCCAGACUCCUACGGGAGGCAGCAGUGGGGAAUAUUGCACAAUGGGCGGAAGCCUGAUGCAGCAACGCCGCGUGAGGGAUGACGGCCUUCGGGUUGUAAACCUCUUUUAGCAGGGAAGAAACGAGAGUGACGGUACCUGCAGAAAAAGCACCGGCUAACUACGUGCCAGCAGCCGCGGUAAUACGUAGGGUGCAAGCGUUAUCCGGAAUUAUUGGGCGUAAAGAGCUCGUAAGCGAUUUGUCACGUCUGCUGUGAGAGCCCGAGGCUCAACCUCAGGGCCUGCGUUGAGUACUGGCAGACUAA
rnacentral:rRNA from 1 species